CCAUCUAUCUUUUCCUAUUUUCGCGUAAAUAACCGUAGUAUGAAAUAAAAUGCUCAGUCGAGGAGUGCUUUGUUUGCCCCUCCCCUUUGCAUCGGACCCUAUCCUAGAGAUACGGCUUAGACGCAACAGUCGUUAUCAAAUCGUCAGAGAGUGCAAUCACUGUCUCAAACCGCUGAAUUUUAUAAUUACAAAGGAAAAAUAAAAGAAAAGAAAAAGGAAAUUAGAAUUCUAAUACGUUUAAUAACUUACCUCUAACAAUUUAAGUGUGGCGUUUGGUGAGGAGCGUUGUCCACGAUGUGAUGAAUUUGAUGACGGAAAAAAGAUGUUGGCCGUGGUGGGAUUCGAACCUAGGUCCUCAGCUGUCUAAGACUUGGCGCGCUACCACUGGCACCAUGCGGGCCAUGGUUCUUUUUCGUGAAUGUUUUUGCUAGGUAUUAGUUGUAUGAGCGGGGGACCGCCACAGUAGAUUAAUAUGUAAUUUGAAUUACAUUAAUAUUAGUCAUAUUA